UGAGAUUCUGCAGCCAAGAAGAAAAGCUCUUCCAGGACACUUACGACUGGGCCUCUCAAGAGAGUAAGAAAAAUGUUUUUCCUAUUUUACCAGCCAAGGAGAAAAGCCAGAGAGGAAAGUUUUAUAAAUACUGAAAAUGGAUGAAAACAUGCAAGUCUUUGCUACAAUCUAGACACAAUUCUUAACAGAGAUGACAAUGUCAUAAAAAGAAGAAAUGGUCUACGAUGCUCAGAUUUCUUUAAGAAAAGGUGGUGAGCUGCAUUUCCUGAGUCUCAGUCAACUUCCCAGCAGGAAUUCCAGUCUGAUGAAGAAUCAGCAAAAGGAAGCCCUCACUGAGAGACACACUGGUAUCAUUCACUGAGUGGAGACAGUGAAAGAGCAAC